GGAAGCUGGAGGCAAUCUGUGCUCCCUGGACCUAGGAGCCGCCCGGGGCAGUUCCAAGGUGGCAGCCAGGACCUCCCAGCUGAGAUGGAGUGGACGAUCCUGCUCUUCCACUCCAAGUGGACCAUCGCCUUUGUCUUCGGCCUCGUGGUCGUGUUGCUCCUGCUGCUGUUUGUCAUCAACUCCAGCUGUGGCGGCUGUAUUCCCGGCUGUGGCGGCUGUAUUCCCGGCUGUGGCGGCUGUAUUCCCGGCUGUGGCAGCUGUAUUCCCAGCUGUGGCAGCUGUAUUCCCGGCUGUGGCGGCUGUAUUCCCUGCUGUGGCGGUUGUAUUCCCUGCUGUGGCAGUUGUAUUCCCGGCUGUGGCAGCUGUAUUCCCUGCACACCCUGCUGACAAAGCUGCUCCUUCGGGUCCCAGAAGGAAUCCACCCCUACCCCAGGGAUUUGAUAACUUCGCCUGGACCCUUAAUGCGGACAGUCCCUGCCUCCCUGUCUUUGCCCUGCUGGAGAGUAAUAACAAAAC
ensembl:lncRNA